rnacentral:lncRNA from 1 species
CUCCCAGAGUGCUGGGAUUACAGGCGUGAGCCACCGCGCCCGGCCUCGGUUUUUAAACUCAUGGAAACACUAAACACAAAAAAAUCGUGAUGAUUUCGGAAUGUAUCAGCGCCAGGUAAAGAUUAGUUGUGACUGUGGCCUCGUCUGAUGCAGAUUCCGCUUGUGAACAGUGAUUUAUCGGAGCCGCCUCCACGUCAACACGAACCGAGACGCGUUGACCAUAAAGCUGUUCUCGAAAGUGCCCACCGUGGGCCAGGUGAACCGGACGGCAGGUGAGGAGGUGCAGGUGCUGAUAACGCAAGAGCCCCCACGCGGCCCGGCGUAUGAGUUCUAGCUUGUUCUAGCAUACUAGUGCUAGCUAGUUCUAGCUUCUCAUCGCAUUUAUCGAUUCUUUGUCUUUUUGCCUCCCCUUUGGCUCAAGGGGCCGGCUGCAACCCCGUGCAAAGCUCUGGAGGGCAGGAACGUCAUCGGUUUGCUCUUAAACGCCUGGAUGGAACGCAAGCAGCAGGGAGCAGCAGUCAAGGUUGGCUGCUAGGACAUGGGACUGCAGUGGGGCACCGUUAGAGGGUCUUUUACCAGUUUGGGACGGCGCCCAUCGGCCGCGACACCUCGCCCACAGCCGGCACCCACAGUCCACACGGCGGUCUGUGCUGCGCAUUGACGACGCGUCCGUCUUGCUCUCGUGUGACGAGGAAAGCUUGAGAGCACUGGAAGCUUGUUCUACUUUACAGGCAGCUUUGCUUGUCAUGUAUAUCAGAAUAGGUAACGUAAACAUGUAUGUUUUCAUGACAUUAUUUUUAAAUGUUCACAAUUUUAUUUUGAUAAAUGAAAAAUUAGAAAAGUCACAUCACGGCUGUUGGCUAAAGUAGACGCCUGCGUUCAUCUGUGGCUGUCGACUACAGUCGACACUGGGCUGUGCACGUUCAUCUGUGGCUGUCAACUACAGUCGACG